rnacentral:pre_miRNA from 1 species
CAAGUACUCCCUCUGUCCGGAAUUACUUGUCAUCAAAAUGGAUGUGUCUAGAACUAAAAUACAUCUAGAUACAUCCAUUUCAAUGACAAGUAUUUUCGGACGGAGGGAGUNAAUU